rnacentral:rRNA from 1 species
AUACUGUGAACUGCGAAUGGCUCAUUAAAUCAGUUAUCGUUUAUUUGAUAGUGCCCUUACUACUUGGAUAACCGUGGUAAUUCUAGAGCUAAUACAUGCAUAAAACCCCGACUCACGGAGGGGUGUAUUUAUUAGAUAAAAAACCAAUGCCCUUCGGGGCUGCUUGGUGAAUCAUAAUAACGCAACGAAUCGCAUGGCCUUGCGCCGGCGAUGGUUCAUUCAAAUUUCUGCCCUAUCAACUUUCGAUUGUAGUUUAGUGGACUACAAUGGUUUCAACGGGUAACGGGGAAUUAGGGUUCGACUCCGGAGAGGGAGCCUGAGAAACGGCUACCACAUCCAAGGAAGGCAGCAGGCGCGCAAAUUACCCAAUCCCGACACGGGGAGGUAGUGACAAUAAAUACUGAUACAGGGCUCUUUUGGGUCUUGUAAUUGGAAUGAGUACAAUUUAAAUCCCUUAACGAGGAACAAUUGGAGGGCAAGUCUGGUGCCAGCAGCCGCGGUAAUUCCAGCUCCAAUAGCGUAUAUUAAAGUUGUUGCAGUUAAAAAGCUCGUAGUUGAACCUUGGGCCUGGCUGACCGGUCCGCCUCACCGCGUGCACUGGUUCGGCCGGGCCUUUCCUUCUGCGGAACGGCAUGCCCUUCACUGGGCGUGUCUCGGGAAGCAGGACUUUUACUUUGAAAAAAUUAGAGUGUUCAAAGCAGGCCUUUGCUCGAAUACAUUAGCAUGGAAUAAUGGAAUAGGACGGCGCUCCUAUUUUGUUGGUUUCUAGGAGAGCCGUAAUGAUUAAUAGGGACAGUUGGGGGCAUCCGUAUUCAGUUGUCAGAGGUGAAAUUCUUGGAUUUACUGAAGACGAACUACUGCGAAAGCAUUUGCCAAAGAUGUUUUCAUUAAUCAGUGAACGAAAGUUAGGGGAUCGAAGACGAUCAGAUACCGUCGUAGUCUUAACCAUAAACUAUGCCGACUAGGGAUCGGGCGAUGUUAUUGUAUUGACUCGCUCGGCACCUUUCGAGAAAUCAAAGUGUUUGGGUUCUGGGGGG